GGUUCUGAUAUGCACUGAAUUCUGAAGUCAUGACCACCAUGCAUCCCUCGCUAUCCUAAGUGGGUAACCAUCACCCCACGGUUCCUCAGAGCCUUCCUUACCUACCCUCUGGUUUCUGGGCCAAAGAAUUAGAGUUAGGUUCAAGAUGGCCUCAGACACAUGAUGAACAGACUUGUUCCCCUGACCACGAAGCACCCCAAGACUCCAGCUCAGGAAAAGCCCAGCAAGGAGCUAUUUGAAGAAACAUUGAUGUCUGAAGGAACAAAAAGGCAGAUCCUUGUUCAGGAGGGCAGGGAGAACCCAGAGGGACUGACUCCAAGUAAGAAGACCUAGGUGUGGUGGCUCAUGCCUGUAAUCCCAGCAUUCCAGGAGGCUGAGAAAAUGAAACAGAAGAAAUGAAGAUGGCAAAAAGAGAAGACAGUAUUGUUUGGAUUCUCCGUCCAGUCUGUUUCUGGGCCUAAACCCCUAUUGUUAGAAGACUGACGCAUCUAUAUACCUUAAAAAAAUUAUUGAGCUACUAGAACAUGAGGGAGAAUCUCAAAAACAGUAAAGUGGUGUCACUGUUCCUGAGAGGGUAAUAAUGUUGUUAUAGAACAUACAUACAAAUGCAUAUGUAUACAUAUACUCUUUAUGUGUGUGCUCCUGCUCCCUCUCUUUCAAAGAGCCUUAAAAGCAAAUGGUACAGCUAUUACCUGAGACAACGUCAGGAGAGGUCAGAUCGCCAAAGGUUGAAGUUUUCUGGGAGCUGAUGACCCACAGAGGAGUCUUGGGAGAAAUUCUUAGUGGACCUACCCUUCAAAGUGUCACGAGAUCUUGGCAAUCCCUUGCAUAGUGCAUACAGGAAUUGCUCUCGAGAGAAUUGGCAAAGAGCUCUGUUUGGGGGCCUGCAGACCAGACAGAUAGAUGCCAUUCGUGGUCACUCAGCUGUCGAGAGACGGAAGUGGGAUUCUGAUCCAGGGAUUUCAGGAAUAACACACUUCCAAACUAAACCAGACACUGUUGAAGCAUUUCUUCUGCAAAGAGAAUGACGGGAAAAAGUCCGCUCCCCUCACGUCAGCCCUCCACCUAGCUCCCGGCAGGCUCACUCAGGUGUACUAGUCCCACUAGGGGCUAGCCAGUGACCGACUGCAAAUAGGUAGAAGUGCUUGGAUCCCCGGGUCUCAAGGACCCAGAGCCACCACCAGUGCCUUGAGAAAUUCACUAGAGGGCGCUACAACACUGCCCUGAGAAAAGCAUUCCUCCUGUUUUCCGGCUCACGGCUUUUCUUUUUCUUCUCCCAGCCCCUGCGGCCCCACCUUCAGUUAGCAGGAGUACUGCGGUAUUGAGCACCCACUUAGCACAAAGUCGUAGGCUAAGUGCGGACAUGCAAGGGUCAGGGCACGGGUAUGGUCCACUGGUAAGUUGAAAGGUGGGCUGAGAGUCCAGAGAAGCAGUGCCUCAGGCUCUUUCCUGCUUCCGGGGCCUUACAACACGU